rnacentral:siRNA from 1 species
UCUAUCAUAGGUGAAAGUGCA